ensembl:snRNA U6 U6 spliceosomal RNA
GUGCUCGCUUUGGCAGCACAUAUACUAAAACUGGAACAAUACAGAGGAGAUUAGCAUGGUCCCUGCACAAGGAUGACACAAAAAUUUGUGAAGCGUUCCAUAUUUUU